UGUUAAAAAUUUCAUCUAUUUCUACUGUUAAAAGUUGGUGUAGUUGACAAAAUAAUCAGACAAUUACACGUGACACAUCACUUGUACCUCAUCAUGUACAAGGACCAAUUUUUAACGAGAGAAAUGGAUGGAAUUUUUAACA
rfam:Gossypium arboreum cultivar AKA8401 contig_5222_7, whole genome shotgun sequence.